rnacentral:rRNA from 1 species
UACCAGCACCCCGAGUUGUCGGGACGAUUAUUGGGCCUAAAGCAUCCGUAGCCUGUUCUGCAAGUCCUCCGUUAAAUCCACCUGCUUAACGGUUGGGCUGCGGAGGAUACCGCAGAGCUAGGAGGCGGGAGAGGCAAACGGUACUCAGUGGGUAGGGGUAAAAUCCAUUGAUCUACUGAAGACCACCAGUGGCGAAGGCGGUUUGCCAGAACGCGCUCGACGGUGAGGGAUGAAAGCUGGGGGAGCAAACCGG